rnacentral:rRNA from 1 species
GUACCUCAUGAAUAAGCUCCGGCUAACUACGUGCCAGCAGCCGCGGUAAUACGUAGGGAGCGAGCGUUAUCCGGAUUUACUGGGUGUAAAGGGCGUGUAGGCGGGGAAGCAAGUCAGAUGUGAAAACCAGUGGCUCAACCACUGGCCUGCAUUUGAAACUGUUUUUCUUGAGUGAUGGAGAGGCAGGCGGGAUUCCGUGUGUAGCGGUGAAAUGCGUAGAUAUACGGAGGAACACCAGUGGCGAAGGCGGCCUGCUGGACAUUAACUGACGCUGAGGCGCGAAAGCGUGGGGAGCAAACAGGAUUAGAUACCCUGGUAGUCCACGCUGUAAACGAUGGAUACUAGGUGUGGGGGGACUGACCCCUUCCGUGCCGCAGUUAACACAAUAAGUAUCCCACCUGGGGA